rnacentral:rRNA from 1 species
UACAGAGGGGGCAAGCGUUGUUCGGAAUUACUGGGCGUAAAGGGCUCGUAGGCGGCCAACUAAGUCAGACGUGAAAUCCCUCGGCUCAACCGGGGAACUGCGUUUGAUACUGGAUGGCUUGAAUUCGGGAGAGGGAAGCGGAAUUCCGGGUGUAGCGGUGAAAUGCGUAGAUAUCCGGAGGAACACCGGUGGCGAAGGCGGCUUCCUGGACCGACACUGACGCUGAGGCGCGAAAGCCAGGGGAGCAAACGGG